AUUGAACGCUGGCGGCAGGCCUAACACAUGCCAGUCGAGCGGAUGAAGGGAGCUUGCUCCUGGAUUCAGCGGCGGACGGGUGAGUAAUGCCUAGGAAUCUGCCUGGUAGUGGGGGAUAACGUCCGGAAACGGGCGCUAAUACCGCAUACGUCCUGAGGGAGAAAGUGGGGGAUCUUCGGACCUCACGCUAUCAGAUGAGCCUAGGUCGGAUUAGCUAGUUGGUGGGGUAAAGGCCUACCAAGGCGACGAUCCGUAACUGGUCUGAGAGGAUGAUCAGUCACACUGGAACUGAGACACGGUCCAGACUACUACGGGAGGCAGCAGUGGGGAAUAUUGGACAAUGGGCGAAAGCCUGAUCCAGCCAUGCCGCGUGUGUGAAGAAGGUCUUCGGAUUGUAAAGCACUUUAAGUUGGGAGGAAGGGCAGUAAGUUAAUACCUUGCUGUUUUGACGUUACCAACAGAAUAAGCACCGGCUAACUUCGUG
rnacentral:rRNA from 1 species